rnacentral:rRNA from 1 species
GAUUUCUGAUGAACCAAAGUGGCCCGUUCCCUUUCGGGUAUGAGUGCCGCUUUGAGUUUGUCAUCCUUCCAGAGAGCUGCGUCUACCGUUUACUCGGCCGGACGUAUGCGAUCUGGAUCUAUUACUUUGAAAAAAUUAGAGUGUUUAAAGCAGGCUUAUGCUGUGAAUACAUUAGCAUGGAAUAAUAAUUUAGGACUUUGGUUCUAUUUUGUUGGUUUCUAGGACUGAAGUAAUGAUUGAUAGGGAUAGUUGGGGGUGCUAGUAUUCAGCGGCCAGAGGUGAAAUUCUCGGAUUCGCUGAAGACUAACUUAUGCGAAAGCAUU